GGAGGAGUCGCGUAGUCCGGUCAAUCGCGGGGGUUUGCUAAAUCCCUGAGCCGUAAGGCUCACGCAGGUUCGAAUCCUGUCUCCUCCGCCA
rnacentral:tRNA from 1 species